AGCCCCGAAGUGCUCUGGCAUAUACCUUCACAUGUAAGUAAACGAAUGUAUCUCCUUGCUGAGAAUAUCACGCGAGUAGGCAGCUCUUGUGGUGCAUCACAAUCGUUUGAGAAGCGUCACAGUAGAGCAUUUUUCUACAUGCGGAGCGGCGUUUUUAUUUGCAGGUUUCCCUUCAGUAGGAAAUUGCUGGACAGGCGGACCAGCGCACUGGAAUUGUAUUGGCUAAGCCACAAGCAACUCAUAGAAUCUGUUUAAUUGUUGCACUUUGAACAAUCAUGCUUCUACAAAGGCUACAGCAGAAAAACAGCCUGAUGCCGAGUAUUUCUGUGCCACGAAGUAAUCAAGAGGCGAGUGCCUAAUGCGGACGAAAUCGAGUGCAUCGAGACUUUGAACGACAGAAAGCUGAGCUAGUUGAUAUGCAAUGGCAAGCCCUUCCGUGUGUUCCAAAGACAAUGCCUACGCCUAGCCACAGCAGCUCCCUCAUACAGACUCCGCAAGCCAAGAGGCCGUGGAGGCAAAUGCAGGUAAGAGGCAAGAAGCAAUAGCACUGGUAUCGACAUUCAUCUAAUUUCUUUCUUUUUCUUUCGUUUAGGCAGCCAGCACACCUCGAACA